rnacentral:rRNA from 1 species
AGUGAACGCUGGCGGUAGGCCUAACACAUGCAAGUCGAACGGCAGCACAGUAAGAGCUUGCUCUUACGGGUGGCGAGUGGCGGACGGGUUAGGAAUACAUCGGAAUCUACUUUUUCGUGGGGGAUAACGUAGGGAAGCUUACGCUAAUACCGCAUACGACCUACGGGUGAAAGCAGGGGAUCUUCGGACCUUGCGCGAUUGAAUGAGCCGAUGUCGGAUUAGCUAGUUGGCGGGGUAAAGGCCCACCAAGGCGACGAUCCGUAGCUGGUCUGAGAGGAUGAUCAGCCACACUGGAACUGAGACACGGUCCAGACUCCUACGGGAGGCAGCAGUGGGGAAUAUUGGACAAUGGGCGCAAGCCUGAUCCAGCCAUACCGCGUGGGUGAAGAAGGCCUUCGGGUUGUAAAGCCCUUUUGUUGGGAAAGAAAAGCAGCAGGUUAAUACCCCGCUGUUCUGACGGUACCCAAAGAAUAAGCACCGGCUAACUUCGUG